AACGAACGCUGGCGGCAGGCUUAACACAUGCAAGUCGAGCGCCCCGCUAGGGGAGCGGCUGACGUGUGAGUAACGCGUGGGAACGUACCUUUUGGUUCGGAACAACUCCGUGAAACUGGGGCUAAUACCGGAAACGCCCUAACGUGGAAGGAUUUAUCGCCAAAAGAUCGGCCCGAUUCUGAUUGGCUAGUUUGUGAGGUAACGGCUCACCAAGGCGACGGCCAGUAGCUGGUCUGAGAGUAUGAUCAGACACACUGGGACUGAGACACGGUCCAGACUCCUACGCGAGGCAGCAGUGGGGAAUAUUGGAAAAUGGGGGCAAGCCUGAUGCAGCCCUGACGGGUGAACGAUGAAGGCAGUAGGGUUGUAAAGCUCAUUUGACCGGGAAGAUAUUGACUGUACCGGAAGAAUAAGCCCCGGCUAACUUCGUG
rnacentral:rRNA from 1 species